AGUGUAAAUAAGGAACUCGGGUGCUGUCAGGAGGGCAUUGACCAGGGGCGCACGCGGCCGCCCACCGCCCUCCACUCGCUUUUCAAAGUCUGCAGGCCCAUUAAGGCUUUUGCAAAUCGGACGCGGCUUGUUUAUUUUUGGCCCCAAGUGGGGAACGCUGUGGGAAAACGGUCUGGAGCUAGGAGAGAGGCCCCUCCCUCGCCCCCCGGGGCUCUCCGCUGGGCAGGGAGGGAGUAGCCCGGGAGGCGAAGGAGGGCAGGGCGGGGGGCGCGGGGCGCCACGGCGGGGCAGGGAGGGAAGGUCCCGGCGGCCGGCCGGCCUCGGGGCUGUUUUUGUCCGCUUUCCGGGGGUCGUGAGGGGCCGGUGGCCCGGCAACAGUGGCUUCAGUUACCACAGGACAACACAAGAUAUACAGCCCAUGGCAUAUCCAGUAACCAGGAAAACAAGCAUUCUCACGACCCAGCCGAACUCCUUCUAACCAUCAACCUGAAAUUCCAGCUUUAUCAAGACUCAUAAAGUAAUUGUGCAUGCUUCUUGCUCAAUCCCUACCAGGAAACCUGUAUCUACCAGGAGUUGUCAUAGAAUAAGAAGUUCAAAAGCUGGAAGAAAUCUUCAGGGUCAUAAUUUCAGCCUCCUGCUUCCAGACAGAACUAUUUCUCCACCACUGAAAUGCAUAUAGAUUUUGAAAAAAUUUCCAGACAUAACCUUUCUUAAGUGUUUGGUUUCAGGAGUCCUGGUAGAGUAUAUAAAAAUGAUGACAUUCUUUGCUAUAUAUUUGAAAAAAUUUUUUAAACUUCUGAAAAACUGAUUGUAUUCUUUUUGUUCUGAUGAAAAGAUGUAAAUUCAGAAGAAAACAAUAAGAAGAUGAAAUAAACUCAGGAUGAGGAAAAUAAUCUAAAAAUAGUUAUUAAAAUUGAAAUUUCCUCCUAUGAAAAUUUGGAUUUCUGAUACUUAAAAAUAUAUGUCUACAUUAUGAAUACAACCAGUAAAAAAAUCAUGUGUUAUAAAGACAAGAACUAGCAGAGAUCACAGGAAAAUAAAAGGUUUGAUUUGCUGAAGUGA
rnacentral:lncRNA from 1 species